rnacentral:rRNA from 1 species
CGGACCAACUGAUUGAUGGUGCUUGCACCUGAUUGAUGAUGGAUCACCAGUGAGUGGCGAACGGGUGAGUAACACGUAGGUAACCUGCCCCGGAGCGGGGGAUAACAUUUGGAAACAGAUGCUAAUACCGCAUAACAACAAAAGCCACAUAGCUUUUGCUUGAAAGAUGGCUUUGACUAUCACUCUGGGAUGGACCUGCGGUGCAUUAGCUAGUUGGUAAGGUAACGGCUUACCAAGGCGAUGAUGCAUAGCCGAGUUGAGAGACUGAUCGGCCACAAUGGAACUGAGACACGGUCCAUACUCCUACGGGAGGCAGCAGUAGGGAAUCUUCCACAAUGGGCGCAAGCCUGAUGGAGCAACACCGCGUGAGUGAAGAAGGGUUUCGGCUCGUAAAGCUCUGUUGUUGGAGAAGAACGUGCGUGAGAGUAACUGUUCACGCAGUGACGGUAUCCAACCAGAAAGUCACGGCUAACUACGUGCC